rnacentral:rRNA from 1 species
CAAUAGCGUAUAUUAAAGUUGUUGCGGUAAAAAAGCUCGUAGUUGGAUUUCUGUUGAGAGCGACCGGUCCAUACCAUGUAUGCGUAUCUGGCUUGCUCUCGGCAUCCUCUCGAUAGACGUUACUGCGCUUGAUUGCGUGGUGCGGAUCUCGGGACUUUUACUUUGAGGAAAUUAGAGUGUUCACGGCAGGCUUUCGCCAGAAUACAUUAGCAUGGAAUAAUACUAUAGGAUCUUGGUUCUAUUUUGUUGGUUUCUAGAAUUGAGAUAAUGAUUAAUAGGGACAAUUGGGGGCACUCGUAUCAACACGUCAGAGGUGGAAUUCUUGGAUUGUGUUGCGACGAACUACUGCGAAAGCAUUUGCCAAGGAUGUUUUCAUUGA